rnacentral:rRNA from 1 species
GACGAACGCUGGCGGCGUGCUUAACACAUGCAAGUCGAACGGAAAGGCCCUGCUUUUGUGGGGUGCUCGAGUGGCGAACGGGUGAGUAAAACGUGAGUAACAUGCCCUUGACUUUGGGAUAACUUCAGGAAACUGGGGCUAAUACCGGAUAGGAGCUCCUGCUGCAUGGUGGGGGUUGGAAAGUUUCGGCGGUUGGGGAUGGACUCGCGGCUUAUCAGCUUGUUGGUGGGGUAGUGGCUUACCAAGGCUUUGACGGGUAGCCGGCCUGAGAGGGUGACCGGCCACAUUGGGACUGAGAUACGGCCCAGACUCCUACGGGAGGCAGCAGUGGAGAAUAUUGCACAAUGGGCGGAAGCCUGAUGCAGCAACGCCGCGUGCGGGAUGACGGCCUUCGGGUUGUAAACCGCUUUCGCCUGUGACGAAGCGUGAGUGACGGUAAUGGGUAAAGAAGCACCGGCUAACUACGUG